GCUGAUUGGCGCAGCGGAAGCGCGCCGGGCUCAUAACCCGGAGGACGCUCGAUCGAGUUAGUACCAUCA